rnacentral:tRNA from 1 species
UCCCUAGUGGUCCAGUGGUUAAGACUCUGCACUUCCACUGUGGGGGGCACGGGUUCAAUCCCUGGUAGGGGAA